rnacentral:rRNA from 1 species
AAUGAACGUUGGCGGCGUGGAUUAGGCAUGCAAGUCGAGCGAGAAUCCUCCGCAAGGGGGAGGAAAGCGGCAAACGGGGUAGUAAUGCGUAGGUGACGUGCCCUCAGGUCUGGGAUAGCCACGGGAAACUGUGAUUAAUACCGGAUGACCUCUUCGGAUCUGGAUUCCGGAGAGCAAAGGUGUGAUUCCGCCCGAGGAGCGGCUUGCGUGGUAUUAGCUAGUUGGUGAGGUAAUGGCUCACCAAGGCAAAGAUGCCUAGGGGGUGUGAGAGCACGACCCCCACCACUGGGACUGAGAUACUGCCCAGACACCUACGGGUGGCUGCAGUCGAGAAUCUUCGGCAAUGGGCGCAAGCCUGACCGAGCGACGCCGCGUGCGGGAUGAAGGCCUUCGGGUUGUAAACCGCUGUCAGAGGGGAUGAAAUUCCGGAGGGUUCUCCCCCCGGAUUGACAGAGCCUCAGAGGAAGCACGGGCUAAGUUCGUGCCAGCAGCCGCGGUAAUACGAACUGUGCAAACGUUAUUCGGAUUCACUGGGCUUAAAGGGUGCGUAGGCGGCUGUUUAAGUAGGGUGUGAAAGCCCCCGGCUCAACCGGGGAAUUGCGCUCUAAACUGGACAGCUUGAGUGAGACAGGGGUGUGCGGAACUUCCGGUGGAGCGGUGAAAUGUGUUGAUAUCGGAAGGAACGCCGGUGGCGAAAGCGGCAUCGGAAGGAACGCCGGUGGCGAAAGCGGCACACCGGGUCUUUUCUGACGCUGAGGCACGAAAGCCAGGGGAGCGAACGGGAUUAGAUACCCCGGGUAGUCCUGGCCGUAAACGAUGAGCACUGAUGGGGAAGGGCUUCGCGCCCUUUCCAAUGGAGCCAUAGUGUCAGUGCUCGCUGGGAGUAUGGUCGGCAGGCCUGAGCUCAAGCAAUUGACCGGGGGCUUCACACCAAAUCCG